GCGGAUGUGGCGAAACUGGUAGACGCGCGGGAUUUAGGUUCCCGUGGGGAGACUCGUGUAGGUUCAAGUCCUAUCAUCCGCACCA
rnacentral:tRNA from 1 species